CGGAACUGCAAGGUGAGACGGCUGUUGCAGUGAAUGAUACAAAGCAGUCACAGAAAACUGAGAGUCCAUCUGUUCAGAAAGCAAAGGCGCGUUUCAGAUUCAGGUGCCCCAACUGCUGGAAACGACGACGUGUCAUUGAGCCAGUGACAUCAUAGAUGGGGUCAAUAGACUUUCAACAGCGCACCAAAGGCAUCCACCAUGGCCACCUCCAGCAUAUUCCAAAUACAGGGUGAUACAGCUGCAUUCUAGAAAGCCCCAUAUGGGAGAGCAGGAAAUUCUGCCCCUGCUGUGGCACCUCCUGAGCUCCUGAACCACUAGAGGGCCCACUGCCACUCUGUGCAAAGCCCUGCACAGUCAGAUGGAGCCCAGGCUGAAGACGUGUGCCACCUUACAGUCCCUCCGUCAACCAGCUGCUCUAGAAGAUCUAAGGGCACUUUUGA